AAUAACUAAGGUUACUAAGGUGAGUGACAAUUUUCCCGCUUUUCUCCAUUGCGGUCUUUCCACAAAUUUAAUUUGCUUUAAUAAUCUCCCCCAUAUUCACUCAAGCCUAACCAUUAUUUUGUUUUAUUUUGCUGUCUGUUUGUUUGGGCCAUAGUAGAGCGGAGAUUUCUUUAAUCUCGGUUGGGGCUUCGUGUUUUUCCCACUUCUCCAUGGUCUGAAUGUGUGCACUCUUCCAGGUGAAUGAUUUUCACAUCGAAAGAGCUCCUAACUGCAUAAUUUAGUAAUUGGAACGUAUCAAAUUUAGUUUUCACCCAUAUAGCUGGCAAGAAAAUGCGAAGAAGCGAUUGGGGACCACACUUUAUCAUUUAUUGCAAUCUGUUUUGGGUUUUUCGUUUCUUUUGCGGGCGCCACUCCCAGUUUGGGCCAAAUCAAAAAAACACCGAAAAACAACAGAAUUCAAUUAAAAGUCUCUACACGCCAUUCGAAACCAAAAAUUUUGACAAAUGCCCCGUCUGUCGGCAGGCAGAAAAACAAGCCAACAAUGUGACCAUUGAACUCGAACCCUGAUGGAAAUUGUUUAUGCCACAUGUCAUGUGCCCCAAAAUCUUGUUUUUCACUCGUUCUUGGCCAGACAAUUUGGCCCACUCGCAAUAGAAAUGCGUUUAGUUCACUUACAAAAAAGUAUCUCAAAUUUCAUUGGAAUAAACGAAAAAAAUGUGUAUCUAUAAAGUUGCUUAAAUUUGUAAUUUUUUGGUAAAAUAUCAAUUACCCAUUCAUUAAUACAAUAGUUAUAAAAAUGAUUAUUUCAACUGUUUCACUGCUUAAUAUUUUCUCUUUUUAUUUUCGGAAAUUGUGCAGCAAGUUCACUGAAGUCUGUGAUGAUUGAGUAUAAAGUACGAGUGGGAUUAUUUUGCAACGCAUCAUAAACAAAGAAGAUUUCCAUCUACUUUGACAUUAAUGACAUUUUGUGGCCCGGCAUUAAAGCAGAGUUUAAUGGCAACUUGAAAGUGGUAGACAAAGCCGAAACUGAUGAUGAGCCGAUUGCGAGGAAAAGUGGAAAAUCGAGAAAAGUGCUCAAUCCCCAUGGCAAACAGAAGCAUAAUUAACUGUUAUGUUUGCCAAACACCAGCGAUGGAUUGACCCAACAAGUUAAUGGGAAAACUCACAUGGGUGGGUGCCCCCCUCCAAUUCUCGAUUUUCCGUGUGAUGUGGUGGCAACUGCAGUGGCGUUAUGCAACAUGCAACUCUUCUGUGGCAUGGAAAUUGUGUGCCAUGCCAACCAAAUUGCGGCCGCAGCAGCAGCAGCAACAAUUGCAAAUUGUUUUGGUAGCAAAAUUUGUGUGGCAUCUUCGUUGUCUCCGCUUCUUUUUGCCUUUUUGUCUUUUUAUCUAUGGUGUUUUAGCUCUUCGGUUGGCUUCCUCAUGACGGCAGCUGCAGUUGCAGUUUGGGCCAACAAGUUUCCUUUCGCCUUGCAAAGCUCAAUUAAAUAUAUAUAUAUAUAGUUAUUGGUUUUUUGCCCUGCUUCUGAUCUUCCUUUCCAAUUCAGCUAAGGUCAGGCCGUAGAUCAGCCAUCAUUUACCAGCUUAUAUGUUUAUUUUUAUAGGCGCCACUCGAAUCGUAUGGAAUAUUCUGUGAUUUUCGAAUGGAAAGAUUGCUUGCUGAUACUUUAUUUUAAUAAAUUUUAUUUUACCACCUACAACAAAUAUUUAUUACCAAGGCUUUUGACAUUUGUUUCUAGAUUUCCAGAUUUUCUUAAGCUCAUUUUAUGGCUGCAUGUCAAACUGAAGACGAAGUCAUUAUCAUUACCUAAAUUAGUACUCCUUGCAUAGCCUGCUCAACAGUUUGUGUCACACUUGCAGCACUUGAGCAUUAAAAUUAAUGCUAAACCAAGUGUGUUUUAGCCAUUCCUGAGCCCGCAGGCCAGAGAUCCACAUUUUAGCUCAGGGCCAGAAACAUUUUGUGGAUUCGCCCGCCCCUGGAGCCUCUGGAGCAUCAUUUGCAGUUAGUGGUCCGUGCAGAUGAAGCUGCAAUAAAUUGCAACUUGCUACUUGCAACUUGCAGCGGUUGCAGCUGUUGCAUGUUUGAGGUUUUGGGCCUGUGUGCUGGCGGAUGUUUUGCGUCCAAAUUGCCACUGUGAGUGACUUUGCCUAACUGCCCAACUGCCCCAGUGUGCCUAACAUAAAGCCCACAAGACAAGAGGCUACUGUUCCUUGGUUGCGACACGAGUUCGCUUCAUAAAAUAUAUUGAAGUGUUUUGCAUAAAUUUCGUGGUCUUAUGGGCGUCGAGUCUGGCUGGCAGACAAUGGGAUAUUGCAUUUGGCCACGCCUUCGGGCUUAACCUUUGACUUUACGGGCGAGUGGAGAAAAUCAAUUAAGGCCAACUUGGAAAUUAGCCGGAGAAAUUCACGCCUUACAUCCAUUAACGCACUUUAUAAUCAACUGGUGGCCGCAAAUGUGGGUCAUCCAUUAAAGCGCUCUUGGCACCGAAGUCAUCUAGACAUCUAGACAACCAUAACAAAUUGUGGAUAUUGCUCUUUUUCCUUUGCUUUUCCUAUUAUGUCAGUUGCUAUCGGGGUUCAUGUUCGAGUGUUUUCCAUUCGCCUCAAUCUGCCUGUGAAUGAUGAUGACUCAUGGGCAUGUGAACUUUUCGAUGAUUAAGCUCAAAUUGGAGUCCGGCAGCUGGUGACGCCCUCGAAAAAGGACGGAUAAAGAAACCGAUUUUCAGAUAGGCACAGUGGCUCCAUAAGAAAGUUUUCACAAUAUAAUUAGUUAGAAGAUUUGAUAAUAACACUUAAAAAAUACCAUUUGUUCAGUGUGCCAUAAAAGGUAGAUAUUUAGUCAUUUGUGAGUAUUUAGUUUUAUUUCAGUGCAGUGUGCGAUUGGGAAGGCCGGCACAUGUCAUCAGUCAGGCUACAGUGAGCUCACUCAUAGUCUGCAGUGGGAUUGGGAUACACAAUCGCAUGAGGAGAGAUACAUUUGAGACAGUGAAACAAUCAGUUGAUGGAUGCACUGUGUUUGCAGAGGGUCGCCGAGGAGGACAAAUUGCCAGAAGCCGGCGACCAUCGAAGCAAAAACAGGAAGGAAAGAAAAAAAUAGAUGCAUAUGUAUCUCUGUUUUUUUUUUUGCUGGGAACUAUAUUAUCCGCUUUGGAUGGAACUAAUGUAGAUGACCUCAAAACCAGUGGUUGUGGUCACUGUGGUGCUUGGUUAUUUGCGUUCGAAAUUGGUGUUUAUUCAUUUCAGCGCGGCAAUGUUUUAAUUAGUUUAUUAGCAGCAUCGAUGCGGCUAAAUAUUUAACCGCAUUUCAAUAAACGAGCCAAUCACGAUUAUCAGCCGGAUUAAA